rnacentral:antisense_RNA from 1 species
AAUACAGCCCACUGGUUGGGGCAUCAGAAUCCCUGUGGGGGUGCGCUGAGUAGUGGUCACAGAGAGGGGUCUAUGCUAAGCUGCUUUCAAUCCAGAUUAGGGUGAGCCACAAGAAAAAUUCUUGGGAGAUAUGAGUGGUGGGCGUAAAACAGCAGCUGUUGUGUAGCUCACACAUGUUGUUGCUAAUCUGCUGGUUUUUAAACUUGUGAUCUGACCUGUCUGAGAGCAUGCCUUGUGGACUUCAAGCCACAGCAUGAGAUCCAGUGAUAACAGCCUUGCAGAGACUACUUAACCAGCCUCCACAAUAGUAUAAGCCAGGUCCCUGUAACAAAUCUCGUACUGGUUCUGCUUCCCUGGUUGAAAUUUGAAUACAGUCACUCUAUUGACCAGGACGACCCUGUUGCAGUACAUGGUUGUCUCCAGUCACCUGGCUGGUAGAUUCCUCCAAAUCUAUGGGGAAGGACUAAAGGGCCCCCAAGAGGCUAUAGUGAUGGUGUGAUAAUUAAUUUUAUGUGUCAACUAGAGUGGGCUGAAGGAUACCCAGAAAGCUGGUAAAACAUUAUUUGGGAGGCUAUCUAUGAAGGUGUUUCAAGAAGAAAUUAGCAUCAAAAUCUGUAGACAGAGUAAAGAAGAUCUGCCCUCCCCAGUGUGGGUAGGCAUCAUUCAAUCACUUCAUGGUGCAGAAAAGGUAAAAAGGUGGAAGAAGGGCAAAUUCUCUCUCUUUUUGAGCUGAGACAUCCAUCUUCUGCAGAAAGGCAUAGGAGCUCCUGGCUCUUAAGCCUUCAGACUCUGGAACUUUUACCAGUGGCCUCCCAGUUCUCAGGACUUUGGACUUGAUCUGAAUUAUACCACUGGCUUUCCUGGUUUUCCAGCUGCAGAUGGCAGAUCAUGGGACUUAUUCCCAUGUGAGCUAAUUCCCAUAUUAAACCUCCUCUCCUGCCUCUCUAUAUAUCCUAUAGUUUCUGUUUCUCUGAAGAACCCUGACUAUACCAACAACUUGGAAACUCGGAAGUAACAGGUAAUAACAAUGAUGCUGGGGAUAGAAACAUGACAGGUACACAGCAUGUACUAAAUGUAGGUUCCCAGUACUACAGACUCAUUUUUUCUUACCAACCACCCUAUAAAAUAGGUACUGUUAUUUUAUUUCCCUCUGUACUCUGAGGCACACAUAGAUGAAAUAACUUGCUAGUAAGCAGAAAGCCAAAAAUUAAACUCAGGUACUCUGGCUCCAGAAUCUGUGCUCUUCAAUCCUACUGCACCAUUCCGAAUCAACCUAAAUGUAAUGGUUUCCAUCCUCUGGCUACCCUGCCUUUUAGAAAUUUUUCACAACAGAAAAAUAGUGUGCUAGCCUGUGACAGUGCAGCCAGGAAACUUCAGUUCUGGUCCUGAUUUCACCACUGACUGGCUGUUGCUGAAGCAAACUAAAUAUGGCCUGAGAAGGACCGCGUACUUCUGUUUCUGAGUGAUUGUGGAUGAACUGUAACCUAGCUUAACAGGCAAACUAAUAGGCCUAAUAAUAGGCUAAUAGACGAAUAGGCCAAGCUUUAACCAAUCCAGCCAUCUGUUCCUCACUUCCAAUUUCUGUAGGUCACUUCCUUUUUUUUCCCUUCUACCACAUGGCUGCGCUGGAGUCUCUGUGAAUCUGCUGUGAUACUGGGGGCUGCCCGAUUCGUGAAUCAUUCAUUAUUCAAUUAAACACCUUUAAAUUUAA